UACGAAGGGGGCUAGCGUUGUUCGGAAUCACUGGGCGUAAAGCGAGCGCAGGUGGUCAAGUUAAGUCGGAAGUGAAAGCCUGGGGCUCAACCUCAGAAUUGCUUUCGAUACUGAUUGACUAGAGUCUGGAAGAGGGGUGUGGAAUUUCUAGUGUAGAGGUGAAAUUCGUAGAUAUUAGAAGGAACACCAGUGGCGAAGGCGACACCCUGGUACAUGACUGACACUGAGGCUCGAAAGCGUGGGGAGCAAACAGG
rnacentral:rRNA from 1 species